rnacentral:rRNA from 1 species
GAUGAACGCUGGCGGCGUGCCUAAUACAUGCAAGUCGAGCGAACAGACGAGGAGCUUGCUCCUCUGACGUUAGCGGCGGACGGGUGAGUAACACGUGGAUAACCUACCUAUAAGACUGGGAUAACUUCGGGAAACCGGAGCUAAUACCGGAUAAUAUAUUGAACCGCAUGGUUCAAUAGUGAAAGACGGUUUUGCUGUCACUUAUAGAUGGAUCCGCGCCACAUUAGCUAGUUGGUAAGGUAACGGCUUACCAAGGCAACGAUGCGUAGCCGACCUGAGAGGGUGAUCGGCCACACUGGAACUGAGACACGGUCCAGACUCCUACGGGAGGCAGCAGUAGGGAAUCUUCCGCAAUGGGCGAAAGCUUGACGGAGCAACGCCGCGUGAGUGAUGAAGGUCUUCGGAUCUUAAAACUCUGUUAUUAGGGAAGAACAAAUGUGUAAGUAACUAUGCACGUCUUGACGGUACCUAAUCAGAAAGCCACGGCUAACUACGUG